AUUGAACGCUGGCGGCAGGCCUAACACAUGCAAGUCGAGCGCGCGGCGGACGGGUGAGAAAUGUCUGGGAAAAUGUCUGCUGGAGGGGGAUAACUACUGGCAACGGUAGCUAAUACCGCAUACCAUCAGAUGUGCCCAGAUGGGGUUAGCUAGUAGGUGGGGUAACGGCUCACCAAGGCGACGAUCCCUAGCUGGUCUGAGAGGAUGACCAGCCACACUGGAACUGAGACACGGUCCAGACUCCUACGGGAGGCAGCAGUGGGGAAUAUUGCACAAUGGGCGCAAGCCUGAUGCAGCCAUGCCGCGUGUGUGAAGAAGGCCUUCGGGUUGUAAAGCACUUUCAGCAGGGAGGCGUUACCCGCAGAAGAAGCACCGGCUAACUCCGUGCCAGCAGCCGCGGUAAUUC
rnacentral:rRNA from 1 species